AAAACUGAAGUAACUCAUACAUUUGACUUCGACCCAAAUAAUGGCCUAAGCCCUGUUUUA
rnacentral:tRNA from 1 species